rnacentral:rRNA from 1 species
CAGGCGCGCAAAUUACCCAAUCUCAGAAUGAGGAGGUAGUGACGAAAAAUAACGAGACCGUUCUCUAUGAGGCCGGUUAUCGGAAUGGGUACAAUUUAAACCUGUUAACGAGGAUCUAUGAGAGGGCAAGUCUGGUGCCAGCAGCCGCGGUAAUUCCAGCUCUCAAAGUGUAUAUCGUCAUUGCUGCGGUUAAAAAGCUCGUAGUUGGAUCUGCAUCUUAGAACUUGGUCCAUCCAAAUGGAUGUGAACUAGGAUUCUAGACUAAAUAUUACAAGCUUUUCUAUAUGUUACCUUAAUUGGUUGCAUAUAGUAGCUAGUAAGUUUACCUUGAAAAAAUUAGAGUGCUCAAUGCGGGCUUAAUGCCUGAAUACUCGUGCAUGGAAUAAUAAAAUAGGAUCUUGGUUCUAUUUUGUUGGUUUUCUGAUCUGAGAUAAUGGUUAAGAGGGACGGACGGGGGCAUUCGUAUCGCUACGUGAGAGGUGAAAUUCUUGGACCGUAGCGAGACGUACAACUGCGAAAGCAUUUGCCAAGAAUGUCUUCAUUAAUCAAGAACGAAAGUCAGAGGUUCGAAGGCGAUCAGAUACCGCCCUAGUUCUGACCGUAAACGAUACCAACUAGCGUUCCGUCGGCGGUAAAUACGCCUUGACGGGCAGCUUCCCGGAAACGAAAGUUUUUCGGUUCCGGGGGAAGUAUGGUUGCAAAGCUGAAACUUAAAGAAAUUGACGGAAGGGCACCACCAGGAGUGGAGCCUGCGCUUAAUUUGACUCAACACGGGAAAACUCACCUGGCCCGGACACCGUGAGGAUUGACAGAUUGAGAGCUCUUUCAUGAUUCGGUGGUUGGUGGUGCAUGGCCGUUCUUAGUUGGUGGAGUGAUUUGUCUGGUUUAUUCCGAUAACGAGCGAGACUCUAGCCUACUAAAUAGUUACUGAAUAUAAAUAAUUUGUUCAGACAACUUCUUAGAGGGACAAGCGGUGUUUAGCCGCAUGAAGUUGAGCAAUAACAGGUCUGUGAUGCCCUUAGAUGUCCAGGGCUGCACGCGCGCUACACUGGAGGAAUCAGCGUGCUGUAACCAUUAUCGAAAGAUAUUGGUAACCCAUUGAAAAUCCUCCGUGAUCGGGAUCGGGAAUUGCAAUUAUUUCCCUUGAACGAGGAAUUCCUAGUAAGUGUGAGUCAUCAGCUCGUUGAUUACGUCCCUGCCCUUUGUACACACCGCCCGUCGCUGCCCGGGACACUGAGCCGUUUCGAGAAAAGCGGAGACUACUGUUUUGAUACCUUUCGAGGUGGAAAUUCUUUGGUGGAAACCGCUUUAAUCGCAGUGGCUUGAACC